UACGAAGGGGGCUAGCGUUGCUCGGAAUCACUGGGCGUAAAGCGCACGUAGGCGGACUCUUAAGUCAGAGGUGAAAUCCUGGAGCUCAACUCCAGAACUGCCUUUGAUACUGAGAGCCUUGAGUUCGGGAGAGGUGAGUGGAACUGCGAGUGUAGAGGUGAAAUUCGUAGAUAUUCGCAAGAACACCAGUGGCGAAGGCGGCUCACUGGCCCGAUACUGACGCUGAGGUGCGAAAGCCAGGGGAGCAAACGGG
rnacentral:rRNA from 1 species